rnacentral:miRNA from 2 species
UGGGUCUUUGCGGGCGAGAUG